rnacentral:rRNA from 1 species
CCUACGGGCGGCAGCAGUGAGGAAUAUUGGUCAAUGGGCGGGAGCCUGAACCAGCCAAGUCGCGUGCGGGACGACGGUCCUAUGGAUUGUAAACCUCUUUUGUCGGGGGACCAAGUCGCCCACGGGUGGGCGGCUGAGUGUACCCGAAGAACAAGCAUCGGCUAAUUCCGUGCCAGCAGCCGCGGUAAUACGGAGGAUGCGAGCGUUAUCCGGAUUUAUUGGGUUUAACGGGUGCGUAGGCGGACGGUCAAGUCAGCGGGAAAAUUGCGGGGCUCAACGCCGUCACGCCGUUGAAACUGGGAGGCUUGAGUGGGCGAGAAGUAGGCGGAAUGCGUGGUGUAGCGGUGAAAUGCAUAGAUAUCACGAAGAACUCCGAGUGCGAAGGCAGCAUACCGUCGCCUUACUGACGCUGAGGCACGAAAGCGUGGGUAUCGAACAGGAUUAGAUACCCCAGUAGUC